UGCGUAGUAAAUGCCUUGUCACCUACACUUAGAAACAAAGGGCUAAAAAUAGGCCUCCCAAUGUAAUUUGUAGGGUGGAUGCUUGGAGCAAACUGAUAAAUGACCUUGAUUCGACAAGAGUUGAAGCUGUCAAGGCAAUGGUUUUUGGUGGGUUGUUGGAAAUUAAGCUAAAUUUCCUCCUACAACAACUUAUGUUAUUGGUUGAUGUCUAGGGUUGUUUGCGAUGCCCUUGUUAUUGGUGAUAUGGAGUUUCCUUUGUGCCCCGUUCAAGUUAAUUGUGUUCUUGGAUUACCUAUGGGACAAUUACAAGUCCCAAAUGUUGUAGGCGUAGGAGAAGCAACUCCUGAGUUGGUUGAUGUUGUUGUUGAAAGAUAUGGUACCCUUCAAGAAAAUAUUGACGAAGAUGGUAAUGUUAGGUCGAUUGUUAAAAUUAGUGUUGAUGAAGCAGUGCUUGAUGUAGUACGAAAGGACGACAAAGGUGAUGAUGUACCGUAGGAUACCGAUGAUGAUCGGAGAAAGUUCCAGAUUGCUUUCCUUGUGGCUGCUUUAGAUUUGAUUUUGUGUCCCACAACAGAUGGUAGUGUCCUGGCAACAAGUUUUUGCCCCUUGUCACAGUUGCUUCCAAAGAAGCUAAUUACGAUUGGUGCUCUUUUGUUCUAGAUUGGCUGUUAGAUUAUGCUAAGAUGUUUCUGAAAAGGUUUGAUGCCAAGGGAUAUGUUGGUGGUUGUGGAGGGUGUACACUUUUUUUAGCGACAUUUUAUUUGGAUCACUUGAAAAGAACCACCAGUUCAAUGGAAUGUCUUUCCACGGGUGAUGGUGUGGGAUUCAGAGUUAGUGCGCCGAGUGUUGGAAACUGAUAGGACUAAAACUAAGGACUAUGGAGAGUUUGGUGUUGUUGAUGCUUCUUAUGGGCAUAAACAUUCGAGGAUUCAUAGGGAUGGUACUUAUACAUUCGCUGAGGAAGAUUCAUC